GAGCCAAACUGGCUACGGUCUGCCCCCACUUUUAUUACUCAUUUCAAUGGCAUCUCAUAGAGAGGUGCUCCCUCUUUACCUGAACACCUGCUUGGGAUAAGUAGUUACUCGUAUUUAAAAGGUGAAACCACAAUUAUAUAAAUCCAGAUAGUAAACUGCUAUGGGAAAUAACUUUAAGAGUCUGAGCUCACCUAUCCUGUCCUCCAAGAGCGGUUCCUGUGAGACCCAAUUUCUCGCCUCUGAAUUCUUUCUCUGGUCUCUAUUACCACAUGAUCCCCUGGGUUGGAGGACUCCUAUCCAGAUCACAUAUCACUUCACUAAGUUUAAAUUCUGUCGUUAGGGACAGUCCUCUGAUUCCCGUGCCUUGCAAUGUUUGUAGGAUGUGCCUCGUCUUAGUUGAGUGAAUGUUUUAAAGGGAUUCCAGAUUUAGGGAAGACCUCCAGAAAAGGUGCAGUCCUUACUCUUGAUUCCAGGCAAAUCUAGGCCACUCCGGGCACACGCAGAUCACUCCUGCAGGACUGUUAGCAGGGAGUGUGUUGUCAUUGUCCUCCAAAUGCCAUUGAUUCCCACCUGCCCGCUGCUCACCCUGCUUGGGUUCUUCCAUAACUCUAGCUGGAACAUGGCCUCACAUCCGCUCUAAAUCCUUCAUGUACCAGACACUGGAUUAGUAGGUGCUCAACCUUUUAAGAUGGGCUAAGUUUAUGUUGCUUAUGACCAAGUUCUGAGAAGAUGAAGACCGAGGAUUGUCUCGUUUGGUUCUUGAUCUAAAAGAUGAUGGAUUUCCAUUCUAGUACAAGAUAGUACUCCCUGGUAUUUAACAGAUUAUAGGAGUUAAAUUUUUGUAUACUGGAAAGUACCAAAGGCUCCAUAAUUUUUAUUAAGUUAUAAGAUUCAGUUGAAAUGGACCAAUUUCAUAUAUUCUGCUUUUUUAUGACACUACAUCAAUUACUUAUUUUUAUAGUCAACAAUUUGGGAGGUAGGUGGGUGACUGAGGUCACAGGGUGAAAUAAUUUGUUGGAGGUCAAAAACAGAAAGUGGAAGAUGUAAACCUGUCAAGCCUGUUUCCAAAUCUUAGCUUCCCAUUGUCUUUAGAAUCAUGUCCAAAUUCUGCAAGGUUUCGACUUGGGCUGGUGAAAGGAACUUUUGGAGCUCACUGUCCUCAACUGUAAAAUGAGAAGAUCAGGGCCAUUGUGGAAUUCUGUUAUUUAAAAACACACAGGAGGUGUUCAAUAGCAGAAUUGUGAUAGUCCAGGUUUCUUCACAGUCCGCUACUACUCUGCAUGUGAAUGGCAACUAUUCGCAGAACUUAAUAUGGUGCCUUCUGUUCAGUGGGUGCUCACAUCUCUGGGUGAAAGGGAUGCAGGUGCUGGAUCAGUGUAACCAGGACUAGAAUUGAGGUCUCUAGAGCGUGCCCAGGCGCAACAGUGAGCAGAGUGAUUUCACCAGUGAGGAGGGCCUUGAGCAGGUCAUGAGAUGUCAGUCAGCUGCUCUGAAGGGCGGUGGAUUUGGCCUUUUGGAGUCUGUCUGGGUUUGGAAAGAAAGCUCUUUGAUGACCUCUUCUGGCAAACAGGAAGAAGUGAUGAGAGUUUCAUAGCGAUUGAGAUCCUGAGAAUGCUUUCCAGUUUGCAAUGUAGGGGUGGAGUUAGCAGUCAUGAUGUCAUUUUACCUGGACAUUGGACCUGUGAUGUGGAGAUUACUGCCCCUGAACCAUAAAGAAACUGAAGGUCAGAGAGGUAAUGGUCUUGUUCAGGAUAGUGUGCCUUUUGGAGGUACCACCUCCAAGCUGGUACCCUUCCCACCAUAUGAGGGAACCUGGAAUGGAUUUAGAGGAAAGCUGAGAGGAUGAGAUGUAGAGUGGGGCCACCUUAGAGUCUGCGAGAAGGCCUCCUAUUUUUUUCUGCAAUUAAAAGACAACUAGAGAAGUGGCCUUUUGAAAAACUUUACAGCUGGGAAAACCCUUCAAGCUUGACUGCUCCUGUUUUACUGAUAAGAAAAUUGAGGCCCUAGGAAACUGGGGAAAAUGUGGAAGCAUUUUAGAUGACUAUCUCUAUUAACCACCUGGAAUACACAGUUACCAUUUUGCUAUAUUUGUUUUAUAGAAACAGCUAUCCCUUUUAGAGGGCUCUUCUUAUUUUAUUUAUUUUUUGAGGUCUUUAAAAAAAAAAUCCCUGAUUUAAAUCUUUUUCAGGGGCAAAGAAGGAGUGGCUAGUUAUAUGGUGAUGGUAGGAAACGGUUUACAAUAUGGUUUCCAUAUUAUUAUGGGAAAUAUGAAAUUCUUUACAGUGUUAAUUUUAAGUCUUAAUUUUUAACAUUGGGAACAAGAAAAAAUUUGUCUGCAAUAUUCUCAUUAAUUCCAGGGCCAGAUGAAGGGAGACUGAGAACAUUUGUCAUGUCACCCUAUUGACAUUUUGAAGAGAUCCCGUUGAAAUAGAGCAUAAACACAUCCCUGUUGGGAAAGACAGGAGCAGUGUUUUCUGAUGACAAACAGUAUUUGUUGGAGCUACAGGAGUGUGGAAGCAAUUUCAGGGUUGCCAGGGUGAGGUUUUGUUUGGGGGUGGGGAGUGGAGACAGCUGGAGUGGAGAGCGCUGGCCCAACUCCAGCUACACUUGCUCUAAUAUUUUUUUUCUUUUUAUUAGUGUAGCCUACCUAAUGGUAUGAAUUUAGCUGACCCCCCUCCCCCAAUUGUCUGGAGCAGUCCCAUUUUUUUUCUGCCUGUAACUACACCUACAUUAACGGAAAUAUUCUUCAGUCUUGCUGGAAGUUUCUGGUUAUAUUUAAAUUAUGUCUUGUUAGGGGGCUGGGAUCAGGCUGGGAGGGGACUGGAGUCACUGCAGUCACUUCCCGAGGGCAGUUUCACGGGUUCUGCUCUGACACAUUUCUCUUUGAUUCUUCCAGAGGCUCUGGCAGAGCGAAUUCACACAGGUGCCCUGGAAAGUGGGCCACAGCCUCCACAGGACAUGCCUGCUAAAAUGCCCGGUGCAAUGUCCUGGUGUUUGAUGGCAUUCGCAGCUUGAGAAAUCCUUAAGGAAGCAACAGGAGGAAAAAUUGAUAGAAGCCUCAUCUAGCCUGGGCCCUCACGAUUCUAGGCCACUCAGGCCUGGGAGAGAUGCUUGCAGGGCACCCUUGAACGCCUUGGUAUCCUCAGAACUUCAGCGUGGACAGUCAGAAAAAAGGCCUGGCGCCUUCGUUGCCUGACUCACCCAGACUUCAGGCUUUCUGAAUUCAGACCAGCAAUGAGUAAAGUAGGGAGAAGGGCCUCUUUAAUUUUUUCAUUAAAAAGUAAUUUUUCUUUUAAAUAAAGUGCUAAGUGAAAGGGGCUAGUAGCCUCUUCGAAGACUCACGAAUGGAUCUUCCCCCUUAAAUAAAGUGA